UAGUUAACACAUUACACUUUACGCCAUUCAUCGAGGGGGAGAUCCUCUUCUUAUUAAUGAUUGUCUAUAUUGAUGAUGGUCUAUAUUAUGCUGCUGACUUUUUUAAAUUUAUGAUCAUGAUAAACCAGUUAUGGGUAUCAUGUUUAUUUUUGUAAAUAAUCAUAGCAAUUUAGACAAUAGACACUCGUAAACUUCCUAGAAUAAUCGAGGAAAGCCAUCAGGAACACUGCCGAAGUAAUCAAAUGCUACCCUAGCAAGAGCAGACAAUAAAAGAGGGUUGGGUAUUUUGUUCAUUUCUCAAAUGUGAAUUAGCAAGAAGUACAGGACUUGCAGUCUAUCGCUGAUGUUAGGUGUUGCCCGGCUUCUCACUUCUCGCCUCAACCAUACUUUUGCGCUAUCAACUUCACGGCUUUCGUUGUUGUUGGGGAGUAGUAGUAGUAGCAGGGGCUUGAGCAGUGGUGGUGUUAGGUCAAAGGUGGAGGCAGUUCUUAAUUUGGAGGAAGUGAAGAAGGUGUUGAGCGACCUGAGAGCCGAAGAUAUCCAAAUCAUUCCCGUCAAAUCCCAAUGCGAAUGGACUGAUUUCAUGGUCAUUGCCACCGGCACGUCUACCUGGCAUGUCCGCAACAUCGCCCAAGCCCUAAUUCACAAGGUGAAGCAAAAGCAGAAAGGGGCUGAGCGCUUGCUGUUACCCAGUGUGCAAGGCCAUGAAGGGGGAAACUGGGUGGUCAUUGACUCUGGCAAUGUGAUUGUUCAUGCACUUGAUGAGAAGGCAAGAUCGUAUUACAAGUUGGAAAGCCUUUGGUUGACAGAGAUGGCUCCAAAGGGGCCUAAUCAGUGGAAGAUGGUAAAUGUUUCCCUACUUUGCCCAACACUUAAAGAGAUCCACCACCAAGCUUCACAGAUCAGAUCCCAAAGCUUCUCAGAUCUACCCCCUUCUCCUAAUGCUUCACAGAUUCGCCCCAUCUCGUAAAGCUUGACAGGUCCACUACCAAAGCUCUUGAGGCUUUCUUUCAUUUUUUAUCGUAUUUGUUGAGAUUUUGUCUGGAAUCUUUCAGGUUCUCUCUGGACUUUGGUGAUGCAUAGCUGGUUUCUAUUUUGAUGGGCUUAGAAUUUCGAGGGUUUUGAUCUGAAAUUACAGGAUCCAGUUAAAUGGUAACACGAAAAAGCUUCAUUGUGCAUGAACAUCUCAAAAAUUGGAUUCAGCAGGCAAAAGGCUGAAGACAACUUCUGCUAGACAGAAACGGCAAUGACCUGGAUUUGGAGAAAGCUCUUGUAAAAACUCGGCGAAAGAAUAAUUCAAAGAAAUCAGUGGAAGGAGUAUCUUAAAAGUUCUGUGACAUUUUCAUAGCUUUUGCAUUUUUGUAUCAUCCAAGAACGACCAGUUUGACUUGGCAGCUUUGUGAUUUUUCUAUGAAUGGUUUGUCAUCAAUGAUUAGGUACCUUUGACUUUCAUAUGCCUUGCUUGUCAUUUUCUAGAAUGGUUCCAGUGGUUAGAUGUUUGAGAAAAAGGGAAAACAGCAUGUUGAUAAAAUUACAGGUUUGUAACACAAUCUGCAUGUCCAGGACCGACCCAUUUUCAGUUUCAUAAAUUUAUGAAUAACGCCUUUUGCAAGUA